AACGCGACGUGCACACUCGAGAUUAAAAAACACGCAAAAACGCCCGCGUGUCGAUUCCGCGCUCAAGGAGCGGCGCUCCAACGGCGCUCGGCAGGUCCGACCGGCUGCCCGCGGCGGGCGGUUUGCAACGUCGAAAAAACACGUAAAAAGACAGUUGCACCGCCGCGGGACCUACGUUUCGUAUGCAGUGGAGUGUGCUUUAUCUGCCCGCGAUAGCUCCACUGCACGCCGGUCGGAUUUCGACGCAAAAGUUUUAUUAAUUUUUCCUGCCUCUACAGCCGUCCACAAACAUCCAUCGACAGAGCCAGUAUAGUCGCCACUCCUCGCCUCCAGGAUAUCAGCGCAAGAAGGUAAAUACAGACGCGGAAUCGCACGAGGCAAUCGCCUUCCCUGAACGAAGAUCAAAUUUUCUUUCUAUACAUGUGGUCGACAGGGGAGGCAACGCGCGCGAGCCCUGGACAACGGAGUACCGUAAUUUUGAAGUACCCAAAGCUCAGAGAGCCGAGAAGCGAUGCUUUACAACUGCUACGUUCGCAUUUUAUCCUCUCCGAAUCGCUAAUUCGAGUAUGCCAAUGCCAUCGGGCGCCACGUAGCGGCGAUAGUUGUUAGUACAACGUACGUUUAACUGCUGAAAGAGGGCUGUAGUGAUUCGUGUAUCGAGAUAAUAAUAUGUAAUAAUGAUAAUAUAAUAAUAUUUUUCCCUAUACGUA
rnacentral:lncRNA from 1 species